AGUAUGAAUUAUUCAAUCGACGAAAAAAUUAAAAAUAAUUAAGUGGCUUUAUGCGGGAAACAGUUUUAGAGCAGUAUCUGAAAUGUUUUCAAUUUAUUUCCCCACCAAGCCCAUUCCGUCCAUUUAAACUAUUAAACGUAUUGUCAAUAAGUUCGAGUCCAAAGGUACCAUAAUAAAUAAUUGUAAAUGUUCAACUCAGGAUAUCGAAAAUAGAGACGAAGAAAGAGAGAACAGAGAUAUAUUCUACUGAGUGUGGAGGAAAAUAAGAUGGUCAGUACGAGGGUUCUUGGGCAAGAGAUUCGAAAAACAUCAAGAGCUGCAGGAAGGAGAUGAAGAGGGAAGAAUGGCAUUUUGUUUUGAAAUGAUGGAAAGAGCAAAUAAUGAUAGGAAUUUUUUAAGAAAUAUUUGUUUUACUGAUGAAUUUACAUUUACCCUCAACAAUGAACCAAAUGUUCAGAAUUGCCGGUAUUGAAGAUCGCUUUAAAAAUGAACAUCGCUUUGUUCAUACUCGGACACAAUAUCCCCAAAAAACAAAUGUAUUCGUGGGAAUUAUCGGACACCAUAUCAUUGGAUUCUUUUUUAUGGACUAUAACCUAAUACCUGAAACCUAUUUGGACUUAUUUCAAAAUCAAAUUGGACCCGCCUUGGAAGAAGCUGUUCAGGAAGAUCAAAUGACCUGGUACCAAAUGGAUAGUUGCCCGGCUCAUAAUGCCCGUAUGGUUAGAGAGUGCUUGGCAAAUGCUUUUAACGGCAAUAUUAUUGGUCCACGGUACCGGAUACUUUGGCCAGCCAGGUCACCUGAUCUUUCACCGAAUGACUCCUUUUUGUGGGGUCAUUUAAAAAGUGUCAUUUAUAAAAGUGUAAAAUUUGAGAAUCUAAACCAGUUACAAAACGCUAUUUCGUUAGAAUGUAAUAAAAUUUCUCAAUAUCAACUUAGUAACGUUAGAAAUGAAUUUUAUGAUCGGUUAGGAUAUUGUUUAGCUGUUAAUGGGGGGUUGUUUGAACAUUUGAUUAAUUGAUGUUUUUAUGUAAUUCUCUAUUAUUUUUAAAAAAGUUAUUGUAUUUUAUUUGAUUUUUCCAUACUAUUGCAAUGUCUGUGGACUCGAAUUUACUAACAAUAGCUUCAGUGGUUGAAAUGGACUAGAUAGGUUUGAUGGGAAAAUAAAUUGAAAAUAUUUCA